AGUGAACGCUGGCGGUAGGCCUCACACAUGCAAGUCGAACGAGUGGCGGACGGGUGAGGAAUCCAUCGGAAUCUCCUCAGUCGUGGGGGAAAAAGUAGGGAAACUUACGAUAAUACCGCAUACGAUUAAAUGAGCAGAUGUAUGAUUAGCUAGUUGGCGGGGUAAAGGCCCACCAAGGGGACGAUCCGUAGCUGGUCUGAGCGGAUGAUCAGCCACACUGGAACUGAGACACGGUCCAGACUCCUACGGGAGGCAGCAGUGGGGAAUAUGGGACAAUGGGCGCAAGCCUGAUCCAGCCAUGCCGCGUGGGUGAAGAAGGCCUUCGGGUUGUAAAGCCCUUUUGUUGGGAAAGCGGUACCCAAAGAAUAAGCACCGGCUAACUUCGUGCCAGCAGCCGCGGUAAUUC
rnacentral:rRNA from 1 species